rnacentral:rRNA from 1 species
GAUGAACGCUGGCGGCGUGCCUAAUACAUGCAAGUCGAGCGAACAGACGAGGAGCUUGCUCCUCUGACGUUAGCGGCGGACGGGUGAGUAACACGUGGAUAACCUACCUAUAAGACUGGGAUAACUUCGGGAAACCGGAGCUAAUACCGGAUAAUAUAUUGAACCGCAUGGUUCAAUAGUGAAAGACGGUUUUGCUGUCACUUAUAGAUGGAUCCGCGCCGCAUUAGCUAGUUGGUAAGGUAACGGCUUACCAAGGCAACGAUGGGUAGCCGACCUGAGAGGGUGAUCGGCCACCCUGGAACUGAGACACGGACCAGACUCCUACGGGAGGCAGCAGUAGGGAAUCUUACGCAAUGGGCGAAAGCCUGACGGAGCAACGCCGCGUGAGUGAUGAAGGUCUUCGGAUCGUAAAACUCUGUUAUUAGGGAAGAACAAAUGUGUAAGUAACUAUGCACGUCUUGACGGUACCUAAUCAGAAAGCCACGGCUAACUACGUG